AGUGAACGCUGGCGGCAGGCCUAACACAUGCAAGUCGAACGGCCUCACAGUAAGUGCUUGCUCUUACGGGUGUCGAGUGGCGGACGGUUGAGGUUUACAUCGGAUUCCUCUUUUUCGUGGGUGAUAACGUAGGGUAACUUAUGCUAAUACCGCAUAUGUCGUACGUGUGAAAGCAGGCGUUCUUUGGACUUUUUGCGAUUGUAUGAGCUGAUCUCGGAUUAGCUCGUUGGCGGGGUAAAGGCCCAGCAAGGCGACGCUCCGUAGCUGGUCUGAAAGGGUGAACAGGCACAUUGGAAGAGAGAAAGAGUAGAGACUCCUAGGGGAGGCAGCAGUGGGGAAUAUUACGCGAUGGGGGAAAGCCUGAUCCAGCCAAACCGCGUGAGUGAAGAAGGACUUAGGGUUGUAAAACGAUUUUGUUAGGAAAGAAAAAAAACGGUUUAACAGGCGACGGUAAUGACGGUACCCAAAGAAGAAGCACCGGCUAACUUCGUG
rnacentral:rRNA from 1 species